AUUGAACGCUGGCGGCAGGCCUAACACAUGCAAGUCGAACGGUAACAGGAAGAAGCUUGCUUCUUUGCUGACGAGUGGCGGACGGGUGAGUAAUGUCUGGGAAACUGCCUGAUGGAGGGGGAUAACUACUGGAAACGGUAGCUAAUACCGCAUAACGUCGCAAGACCAAAAAGGGGGACCUUCGGGCCUCUUGCCAUCGGAUAUGCCCAGAUGGGAUUAGCUAGUAGGUGGGGUAACGGCUCACCUAGGCGACGAUCCCUAGCUGGUCUGAGAGGAUGUCAAGCCACACUGGAACUGAGACACGGUCCAGACUCCGACGGGAGGCAGCAGUGGGGAAUAUUGCACAAGGGGCGCAAGCCUGAUGCAGCCAUGCCGCGUGUAUGAAGAAGGCCUUCGGGUUGUAAAGUACUUUCAGCGGGGAGGAAGGGAGUAAAGUUAAUACCUUUGCUCAUUGACGUUACCCGCAGAAGAAGCACCGGCUAACUCCGUG
rnacentral:rRNA from 1 species